GCGGCUUUCGUAUAAUGGCUAUUACACCUGUCUUCCAAAUAGGUGAUGCGGUUUCAAUUACCGCAAGCCGCUCUA
rnacentral:tRNA from 1 species